UACGUAGGGGGCAAGCGUUGUCCGGAUUUAUUGGGCGUAAAGAGCGUGUAGGCGGCCAAGCAGGUCCGCUGUGAAAACUCGAGGCUCAACCUCGAGACGCCGGUGGAAACCGUAAAGCUAGAGUCCGGAAGAGGAGAGUGGAAUUCCUGGUGUAGCGGUGAAAUGCGCAGAUAUCAGGAGGAACACCCGUGGCGAAAGCGGCUCUCUGGGACGGUACUGACGCUGAGACGCGAAAGCGUGGGGAGCAAACAGG
rnacentral:rRNA from 1 species